rnacentral:misc_RNA from 1 species
CACGCUCAUCCAACAUCACAACCUAUGGGUAAAUGAUCAUAGAAGAUAGAUAAACAAAUAAUAAGCAAACUAUCAAGGGUGAGAAAAGCGAUAGUUUCAAUUAUUUUUGGUGACAACAUAUCCCUAAAUUAAACUUUUCUAUUACUCCGUGACCAAAGUGUUUUCCAGGGUACCCAAUUUUAUCAAUAACAAGAGGCAAUUACUUCAAUGAAAAAGGGGUUACAAAAAUACAGCCCAAACAUUAGCAUUUUCUAAAAAACAUAAUCAAUCAUUGAGUCUCAAAGUUACUCUUUGAGACAAUUUAACAAAUACAGAAUGUGUUUUUCCAACAAAAUCUGAGAGUAAAAACAUCUCAACUUCAACAAAUAAAUUGACAUGGAAAUGUUGUUAAGAGGCAAUACCCAAUCAUCAGACCUUAUAAGG